rnacentral:rRNA from 1 species
UUCCUCUGUCUCUAUAAAGCCAAUGAAAAUUAAUCCUCAGGUGAAGAAGCCUGAAUUAUGUUAAAAGACAAAAAGACCCUAUUGAGCUUAAUUCUAAUAUUAGGCAAUUAAAAUAAAAAUAAAAUCACCCCUUUUAUAAGAAUUUUGCUGGGGCAGCAAAGGAACAACCAAAAAUUCCUUCUUUCAAAGACCUAUAAGUCUACUAAAAUGAUCCAUAUUUAUGAUUAACAAAACUAGCUACCAUAGGGAUAACAGGCUAAUUUUUCUCUAGAGCCCAAAUUGACAGAAAAGAUUGGCACCUCGAUGUUGGCUUAGGAUAUCCCAAAAGCGCAGAAGCUUUUAAAGGUAGGUUUGUUCAACCUUUAAAAUCCUACGUGAUCUGAGUUCAGACCGG